GUGAGGUGGAGCAAAACUCAAAAAAUAGAUCUCAGUUCGGACUGUAGGCUGCAACUCGCCUACACGAAGUUGGAAUUGCUAGUAAUCGUGGAUCAGCAUGCCACGGUGAAUACGUUCCCGGGUCUUGUACACACCGCCCGUCACACCAUGGGAGCUGGUAACACCCGAAGCCUGUGAGCUAACGCUAAGAGGCAGCAGUCGAAGGUAGAAUCAAUGAUUGGGGUGAAGUCGUAACAAGGUAGC
rnacentral:rRNA from 1 species